CUCCCAGGAGUCCACGGGGCGGCGCGUUAGUAGCCUAACUGUGCAAGCUACCGGCUCCCCGGGCUGUUUGUGUCAACGUCCGCGCUUUUCCAGAGUGGACUACAUUUCUCACAGAUAAGGCAGAGCUUCAUUUUUGCAUUUUUGGUGCUGAGGAAUCUGUGGACAAGAUCCCCGUGUGACUCAGUCUGUGCCUGUGAAAGACCUCGAGGCCCUCCUUAACCACAAGGGACCCCCUGUUCUGAAGGAUGGCCUUUGUUGCCUUCAUCAGUGCACGCUGUCUUCUCUUCCCAGUUAAUGAUGGUACCAUGAGAAUGGAUCUCCUUUCCCAGUUCCUCAUCAAAUUCUGUUUCUACAGUUAAUUUUCAUAUAGACACUUGCCAACACUUCCCCUUGUAUGCUUUUUGCUGUGUUCUCAUCAUGCAGCCAUAGUCCUUUUUUAUUUUAUACAGUGAUUUGUUAAGGAAGAAACCAAUAUUUAAGUAGAAUUAUACCUUUGAUACUUUAGAUAUUCUCCAGACACAUGAGUGGAAAAAUGGCAAGGUGGAUAGUUUGAUUGAUUUCAGUGUACUAUAUAAUGGUCUCUGAGUCUUUUUUUUUUUUUUUUAAGAUUUUACUUAUUUAUCAGAGAGAGAGAGAGGGGGAGAGAGCGAGC